rnacentral:rRNA from 1 species
AGAGUUUGAUCAUGGCUCAGAUUGAACGCUGGCGGCAUGCCUUACACAUGCAAGUCGAACGGCAGCAUGAUCUAGCUUGCUAGAUUGAUGGCGAGUGGCGAACGGGUGAGUAAUACAUCGGAACGUGCCCUGUAGUGGGGGAUAACUAGUCGAAAAAUUAGCUAAUACCGCAUACGACCUGAGGGUGAAAGUGGGGGACCGCAAGGCCUCAUGCUAUAGGAGCGGCCGAUGUCUGAUUAGCUAGUUGGUAAGGUAAAGGCUCACCAAGGCGACGAUCAGUAGCUGGUCUGAGAGGACGAUCAGCCACACUGGGACUGAGACACGGCCCAGACUCCUACGGGAGGCAGCAGUGGGGAAUUUUGGACAAUGGGCGAAAGCCUGAUCCAGCAAUGGCCGCGUGUGUGAAGAAGGCCUUCGGGUUGUAAAGCACUUUUGUCCGGAAAGAAAUGGCUCUGGUUAAUACCUGGGGUCGAUGACGGUACCGGAAGAAUAAGGACCGGCUAACUACGUGCCAGCAGCCGCGGUAAUACGUAGGGUCCAAGCGUUAAUCGGAAUUACUGGGCGUAAAGCGUGCGCAGGCGGUUGUGCAAGACCGAUGUGAAAUCCCCGAGCUUAACUUGGGAAUUGCAUUGGUGACUGCACGGCUAGAGUGUGUCAGAGGGGGGUAGAAUUCCGCGUGUAGCAGUGAAAUGCGUAGAGAUGUGGAGGAAUACCGAUGGCGAAGGCAGCCCCCUGGGAUAACACUGACGCUCAUGCA